GGGGUCGACUGGUUUUGACAGCGAGAUUAAUACGAUGGUAAGCACGUCGAGCGCUGAAAUACAGCUCGCUAAUAUCAUAUUUCAUCUUUUUUAAACGGCGAGAAUAACUACGCCCUAGCUGCAUAAUCUGAAUUAUAGUAGGAUAAUGCCUCGGUUCGCAAGGCGAACAAGCAGGAAGUCUCCCAAUAGCCUUGGUUUAUGGCGAUUGAUUUUGAGACUUCGUAAAAAUAAACCUAGAGAAGGUAGGGUCUCAAUAUCCUCUCGAAACUCUUAGAGAAUACGUGUAAGAUAGGUAGUUUUUGAUCGGUCUUACAUCGACAAUUAAACAAAAACUAAGCGUGUAGAAAGCUGUUUUGUUACUUGUUUGGACGAGGGUUCGAAUCCCUCCGACUCCACAA
rnacentral:tmRNA from 1 species